rnacentral:rRNA from 1 species
UACGUAGGGGGCAAGCGUUGUCCGGAUUUAUUGGGCGUAAAGAGCGUGUAGGCGGCCUGACAGGUCUGCUGUGAAAACUCGAGGCUCAACCUCGAGAUGUCGGCGGAAACCGUCUGGCUAGAGUCCGGAAGAGGGAGAGUGGAAUUCCUGGUGUAGCGGUGAAAUGCGCAGAUAUCAGGAAGAACACCUAUGGCGAAGGCAGCUCUCUGGGACGGUACUGACGCUGAGACGCGAAAGCGUGGGGAGCGAACAGG